ACAGCGCGAGCAGCAGCCAGAGCGCCCAGAGCGCGGACGUGCCCAUGGUGCCCGCCUGGAUGGUGCCGCCGCCGCCGCCGCCGCCGCCGUUCGCUCCGCACGACAAGUUACCAGUCCUUCCGAAAGGAGGAAGAAGGCUCCAAGCUUGAUAUAGAAGACUAUCAUAUGAACCAGAAAGGGUAACUGAAACCAAAGAAAUGACUCCAGUAUCAAGCUAAAGACAUGCCUUAAAGGAUGAGGAGGAGCAGAAAUCUUACCAGCAAGGCAAGAAAGAAGCCGUACGUGAACAGGUGGUAGUAUGAGCAAUACUUAAUUCCCUGUUGUGAUUAUUAGCAAGUGAAGCUUGUGAAGUGCAUAGCCCCGACUAAAGAAUCUUCUGUUAUAAUUUUUCAAAGACUGUA
rnacentral:lncRNA from 1 species